AUUCGACCUCAAAUCAGGUAGGACUACCCGCUGAACUUAAGCAUAUCAAUAAGCGGAUAAGGA
rnacentral:rRNA from 1 species